rnacentral:snRNA from 1 species
GAAUGUGAGGAUGAUCUGGCUGCACCGUCUGUCACCCCAUUGAUCUCCAGGGUUCAUUUGGUUGAUCUGGCUGGCUACGCGGGUGUUCCCUUCCUCCCUCACUGCUCCAUGUGAGUCCCCUCCCAAAGCUGCAUGCUUGGGUUGAAGAUAGCGAACUUCCCCUAUAGAAGGAGGACCAUCCUUUGGUCAAGGGUAAAUACGUAGCUGCGCUCUUCUGAUAGAACUUCCAAACAAGCCCUCAAAAAGAGAGUUGACCAUAAUGACAUGGAUGGACUCCAGCCCCUGUGGGAGUAAAGCCUUCAGGACCUUCACUUGUUAAUGGGGCAUCCCUCAAAGUGAGAAGACGCAGCUACUA